UUUCGUUGGCGCUAAAAUGUAGCGUCAGCCAUUGGUUGAACAAUGAAGCAACUACUUACUUCUUUGUUCAACCAAUGGCUGACGCUACCUUUUAGCGACAAUGAAAUUAUCUUCCUUUAUUCCUCCGUUGUCCUCCAGACGGUCCUUUUAUGUAAUAAAUAUAAUGCUCCAUCUGUAUAUACGUAAUACGUCUAUGCUCCGAGAUGUAGGAGUUACCUGGUCUGAAGUACUGUCGAUCUUGUCGACCUUUGUGGUUUAAUUAAUCGAUUCAAUGAUUAUUGUAUAUAAAUCAUCGAAUAUCUUACUUAUAUUUUGAUCUGUCGAAAAAAUUAUUACAUUGACAUUAUAGAUCAAUAUACAUAAUUGCAAAUUUAUAAUUUAAUAUCGUAUAGUCAAAUUCCUAAUGUCAUAAUGUCUAAGAUGCAUAUUAUAUAUAUUGAUGUAUAUGAUAAUGUUAAAAAUUAAAAAUAAAUUGCCAUCAGUAUUAAAUAAUUAAAUAAUUAUAUAAAAAUGGAGGAGAGAGCAAUGCUAUGGAUGCUUUCUCUUGUUAUGUUUGUUGGAUCUUGUCUUGGAGCUGGAUCACUGCCAUUAAGUUAAAUAAAUUUAUCAGAAGAAGUAAGAUAUAGAAGUGAAGAAGAAUAUUUUAUGUAAUAUAAAAUUAUGACAAGUUACAAUUAGUUUCAAUAUUAGGAGCAGGACUCCUUGUUGGUACUGCGCUAGCGAUUAUACCUGACUAUACCUGAGGGUGUAAGAGCAUUAUUUACUGUGGAUGGUAUUACUAAUGAAAAAGGUUCAUGUGGCAACAUUACAUACUUUAAUUGGAAUUAGUUUAGUACUUGGUUUAUGCUUUUAAUCGAUCAAUGUUCAGCCAGAAAAAGUGGAGGAAGACAAGAAAUGUAUUACAGCAACUUUAGGUCUUAUAGUAGAUGCUGCGGAGUUGCGUUGGGAGCUGCUGCUACUACAUCUCAAGCUGAUGUCGAAGUGUCUUAGUUUUUCUUCGCAAUAAUGUUGCACAAAGCGCCAGAUGCAUUUGGACUUGUGUCAGUUUCUUCUUCAUGAAGGUGUAGAUAGAAAGUAAGAAAAUAAGCAGACACUUAUUAAUUUUCUCUCUUGCGGCACCGUGUCUUGUGACAUACACUUGUGACAUAUUUUGGAAUUGGAAAAGACAUUCAGGACUGCCGCGCAAGACUGCACGCGCCAAUCAGGCGCGAGAGCGGACGCGGACGCGCGAAGACACCCAAUCAGGAGCGAGGACUGCCGUGCGUGCGCGAAGACGUCCAAUCAGGCGCGGGAACUGCCGCGCACGCCGCCAAGACUCCCAAUCAGGCGCGAGGACUGCCGCGGACGCGCGAAGACGUCCAAUCAGGCGCGAGGACUGCCGAACAUGCGCGAAAUUGCAAAUUUGAAGGACAAGUUACAAUUAGUUUCAAUAUUAGGAGCAGGACUCCUUGUUGGUACUGCGCUAGCGAUUAUACCUGACUAUACCUGAGGGUGUAAGAGCAUUAUUUACUGUGGAUGGUAUUACUAAUGAAAAAGGUUCAUGUGGCAACAUUACAUACUUUAAUUGGAAUUAGUUUAGUACUUGGUUUAUGCUUUUAAUCGAUCAAUGUUCAGCCAGAAAAAGUGGAGGAAGACAAGAAAUGUAUUACAGCAACUUUAGGUCUUAUAGUAGAUGCUGCGGAGUUGCGUUGGGAGCUGCUGCUACUACAUCUCAAGCUGAUGUCGAAGUGUCUUAGUUUUUCUUCGCAAUAAUGUUGCACAAAGUAAGAAGGUUAUAUACAAUGUUUCAGAAAUGAAUUAACAAGCCCUUGUAAAAUAUGCGCCAGAUGCAUUUGGACUUGUGUCAGUUUCUUCUUCAUGAAGGUGUAGAUAGAAAGUAAGAAAAUAAGCAGACACUUAUUAAUUUUCUCUCUUGCGGCACCGUGUCUUGUGACAUACACUUGUGACAUAUUUUGGAAUUGGAAAAGACAUUCAGGACUGCCGCGCAAGACUGCACGCGCCAAUCAGGCGCGAGACGGACGCGGACGCGCGAAGACUCCCAAUCAGGAGCGAGGACUGCCGUGCGUGCGCGAAGACGUCCAAUCAGGCGCGAGAACUGCCGCGCACGCCGCCAAGACUCCCAAUCAGGCGCGAGGACUGCCGCGGACGCGCGAAGACUGCCAAUCAGGAGCGAGGACUGCCGCGCACGC